CAAAACAAACAGGCGCAGCUACCUUCACGACUUCACCCUCAUCCUCCAUCGAUCUUCGAUCUUCUUCACCCUCAUCCUCCAUCGAUCUUCUUCACCCUACACCAGGCGCAGCUACAUUUAGAGAGAGUUUCGCUGGAACCGUAGGCCACAGCCGCCGCCGCCGCCGCCGCCUCCAUUGGAGAAUGCCCACUGAAUAGGAAUCGAUCCCUGUCUCCAUCAGUGGUUUGGCUGAAUUGAGUCUCGUUUGGGAGUAAGAAGAUUUACUCCGAUGGCGAAUAUGCCGGAGAAAUUGAACCAGUGUAAGCUUGAUGCUCGCCGUGAACAAUGCCUUUCGCAAGAGAGCAGGUUGCGUAGGUUGUACUAUGGCUAUCAUGAAGAAUGUUUUAAGGUGUCUUUCGGAUCUUUUACCUGUUUGCUGUUGCUUUUCUGCUGAUCUACCAGUCACUUUUCCAUCUAUUUCACCACCUUAGCUGCAAUUUUCUUCGAUGGAGGUUGUAGGAGUUGAAAUUCUCUCUCUGACAGAACUAUUAGCCAUUUCUUGGACUGGAUUUGGCUGUUGAUGAAAUGACUCUGCAUCAUAUUGUAGGAUUGCAUUAAGUGCUUCUUGUACUAACUUUAUGGCUGCAGUCUGUUGCAGUCCAAGUUUCUCUGUCUUUGCAACUUGGUCAUCAACUUCCUAGAGAUUGUUGUUGUUUUUACUCAGCUCCAUAUUCAAGUUACUCAUCUCAUGGCUAUUGUUUCCAUCUCCACUUUCUUUUUCAUCUGCUUGAAUGAUAUCUUGGGCCUCAUUCGUUUAUGGUUCACUUAAACUUU